CCUACGGGUGGCAGCAGUGAGGAAUAUUGGUCAAUGGCCGAGAGGCUGAACCAGCCAAGUCGCGUGAGGGAAGACGGCCCUACGGGUUGUAAACCUCUUUUGUCGGGGAGCCAAGCGAACCAAGUGUGGUUCAUUGAGAGUACCCGAAGAAAAAGCAUAGGCUCACUCCGUUCCCGCAGCCGCGGUAAUACGGAGGGUGCGAGCGUUAGCCGGAUUUAUUGGUUUUAAAGGGGGCGCAGUCGGGGGUGCAACUCAGCGGUCAAAUUGCGGGGCUCAACCCCGUACUGCCGUUGAAACUGCAUCCCUUGAGUGCGCGAGAAGUAUGCGGAAGGCGUGGUGUAGCGGUGAAAUGCAUAGAUAUCACGCAGAACUCCGAUUGCGAAGGCAGCAGACCGGCGCGCAACUGACGCUCAUGCACGAAAGCGUGGGUAGCGAACAGGAUUAGAUACCCUUGUAGUC
rnacentral:rRNA from 1 species